GCUAAAAGUCUAGCCCUAUUUAACCGCAUGAUCAUCAUUAAACUCAACUUAAUAUCCUAAAACAUUCAAUGUUUCUAGUAAAGGCGAUCGAAAGAAUAAUUAGAGCUACAACUAUAGUACCGCAAGGAAAAGAUGAAAUAAAAAUGAAACACAUUUUAAGCAAGAAAAAGCAGAGAUUAACCCUCGUACCUUUUGCAUCAUGAUUUAACAAGUCUAAUCAAGCGCAAAGAACUAUAGCUUGACCUCCCGAAACUAAACGAGCUACUUCGAGGCAGCUUAAUGAGCACACCCGUCUCUGUUGCAAAAGAGUGGGAUGACCUCCAAGUAGCGGUGAUAGACCUAACGAGUUUAGUGAUAGCUGGUUACUUAAGAAAAGGAUUUUAGUCCAACCUCAAACAUCUUUAAUUUUUUCAAAUGACCCCAAUGUUUUAGAGCCACUCAAAUGAGGUACAGCCCGUUUGAAACAAGGACACAACCUACACUAAUGGGUAAUUCACUUAUUUUACAACAAAGUGGGCCUAAGAGCAGCCACCUUUAAAAUAGCGUCAAAGCUUACCUGUAUAAACCCCAAAUACCACAACACCCCAAAACCCCUUUAUCCGUAUUAAGUAAUUCUAUAAUAAUAUAGAAGUUAUUAUGUUAAAACAAGUAAUAAGAAGAAGACCUUCUCUUAGAUGCAAGUGUAGAUCAGAAAGGACAAACCACUGAUAAUUAUAGCCAAUGAAUACAAUACAGCAACACCCCAAGAAAACCCUGUUUUACCCGGCGUUAACCUAACACAAGAGCACCUCAAGAAAGAUUUAAAGAAAAAGAAGGAACUCGGCAAAUAUUAACCCCGCCUGUUUACCAAAAACAUCGCCUCUUGUCUUAAACAUAAGAGGUCCAGCCUGCCCAGUGACUAAGUUCAACGGCCGCGGUAUCCUAACCGUGCGAAGGUAGCGUAAUCACUUGUUCUUUAAAUGAGGACUAGUAUGAAUGGCACCACGAAGGUUAUACUGUCUCCUUUUUCUAAUCAAUGAAACUAAUCUCCCCGUGAAGAAGCGGGGAUAAAAAUAUAAGACGAGAAGACCCUAUGGAGCUUUAAACUAUAUAGCACUGGCUUAUGUAUUUAUACACUUCAGAGCCAUAAUACUUACUCUAGCCUUCAUGUCUAUUAGUUUUAGGUUGGGGUGACCGCGGAGCAAAAAUUAACCUCCACAUUGAACGGAACCAUUCCUGAGCCAAAAGCUACAACUUUAAGCACCAACAAAAUGACAUCAAUUGACCCAAUAUUUUGAUCAACGAACCAAGUUACCCUAGGGAUAACAGCGCAAUCCACUUCAAGAGCUCCUAUCGACAAGUGGGUUUACGACCUCGAUGUUGGAUCAGGGUAUCCCAGUGGUGCAGCCGCUACUAAAGGUUCGUUUGUUCAACGAUUAAAACCCU
rnacentral:rRNA from 1 species